ensembl:lncRNA
GUUAAAAUGGUCCUUUAAAAAAUAAUCAUGGAGUUUCAGCAGAAGUAAUACACUAAUACAGUAGGUUUCAGAUACCCCACGUUAAAAAGUGAGAUGUGAACCACCUGUGCAGAAUGCAUGACCUGAUACAGAAACGGGUCAGCGUGACCACACCUGGUGAGCAUUGGAGAGAUGAGAACAUUGAAAAGGUGAGUUGCUUCUCACCUACUAAAGUGAGACAAGGAAUUUCAGAAGAUCUUCUUGGAGGACUUGAUAUUUAUCCCCUGGAGUCUGCUGAACUCAGAGUGGAGGCCUGUUUCUUUCCAGGAGAAAUCCUGAGGAAAAAAAAAAAAAGAAAGAAACCAGUUCUUGGAAUCCAGCCACCACGCUGAGAGGAAGCCUGAGCAGCCGUGUGGAGAGGAACUAAGGUCCCUGACUGAGAGCCCUGGGCAAGCUCCCAGCCUGAAGCCAGCGUUAGUUGACCAGCUGUUAGUGAGUCACCUGGGAAGUGAAUACCACCAGUCCACUGAUGCCGUGUGGAGCAUAGAGAUCUUAAAAUUGUAUUGAUCUCAAGCUCCUCAAAGCCUGGAUCUACCCCUGGUUUUUUGCACUUUCCAUUACUGGCUGGUGGGAGGUGACAUUUCCAGAUAAUGCAUUCAGUCUGGCUACAAGUGAAACUUAAAUUAUUUUGGGUUAUUUGGACAACCAGAAUUAAUUUGCACUCUCACCCAGACUACACUGCUUCCUCCUUUCAACACUCGUCUUCAGUUUUCAAGUCCUCAUUUUAUUGCUUGAAGCAAGUUCAGAUGGAUUCACUUCUCUUUAUCCCUGUAACAAGGCUUGAGUGUAGACAAGCUCUUGUUUUGAGCACAGUUGUCCUCUAAUUCUGCUUCAGUAGAG